UUACCCAUAUAGUAAUUCAGCCUCCCUCACCACUUAAAUCUACAACUUAACAUACCACCAAAAAAAGCCCUAAACUUUCAGCACCUAUCACAAAUCUUGAAAAAAGGCCCAAGAAAUCUGAGCAAAUAGCAGGUGAAAUUGGGGAUGAUUACAUGAAAUAAUAUCAAGAAAUGAUGUGUGAAAGGAGUGUUGAGGUGGACUUUGUAACCGUCCCUGAGAAGAAGCACAAUAGGGGGGUGGGGUGGGGUGGGGUGCUUUGAUUUUUGCUAUUUGGAUUCUUGAAGAAUGCUGCCAAAAGACCAAAUCAAGUGA
rnacentral:lncRNA from 1 species